rfam:Triticum aestivum genome assembly, contig: Triticum_aestivum_CS42_TGACv1_scaffold_149283_2BS
CUCGUACUUCCUCCGUCCGGAAAUACUUGUCAUCGAAAUAAAUAAAAACGGAUGUAUCUAGAUGUAUUUUAGUUCUAGAUACAUUCCUUUUUGUCAAUUUUAAUGACAAGUAUUUUCGGACGGAGGGAGUAUAUC